CUAAUUUCCAGUAUGCAAACAAAGUGAGCAGCUGAGCGUUAUACAAAGCAGGACUGGCUGUGAGACUUCAGCAUAUUUUCUUUUCUCCCCUGGACUGGUGGCACUCAACUUCGGUGGAUCUUGCAAGGGAAACAAGACAAAUUAAAUACAUUUAAUUUGCAGAGUAUUUAUUAUACAGAACUGUAGAACUUCUCACAGUAAGAAGAGGGAGAGAAGAAUACCGGAGAAACAAAUAUGGAGAACAAAAGUAAAGCUACACAUCUUCCUGAAAAUUCUACUCCCCUGGAACUCAGACUUCCAUUUCAGAAACCAUUCUGAGGUUUGGAUCUUCUUGACACAAAUUCAGCAGAUCUUCCCAUGUGCAUCUUCAGGCUUUGGAUGAGCAUGUGUUUUUUCUUGCAUCUAGAACCUCAUCCUUCUUACAGAAGUGCUGACUGAGUGAAGAUCAGUGUACUCCUCACAGCAGUAGACAUUGUAUUAAUUCAGGACAUUGCUUA